AGAUUCUAGUUGAUUUGUCUUUUUCCGCUUACUGGCGCUGUUAUUUAAAGACGACAGGAAAGGGAAAAAGGCGUAUAGACUAAGAAGAC
rnacentral:pre_miRNA from 1 species